UACGGAGGGUGCAAGCGUUAUCCGGAUUCACUGGGUUUAAAGGGCGCGUAGGCGGCCACCGCAAGUCGGUUGUGAAAUCUCCGGGCUUAACCCGGAAAGGUCAAUCGAUACUGCGGGGCUAGAGUGCAGAAGGGGCAACUGGAAUUCUCGGUGUAGCGGUGAAAUGCGUAGAUAUCGAGAGGAACACCUGCGGCGAAGGCGGGUUGCUGGGCUGACACUGACGCUGACAGCGCGAAAGCUAGGGGAGCGAACGGG
rnacentral:rRNA from 1 species